UUCGGUUCCUUCUGCAACCAGCUGUUGAAUGUUUUUUUUUUUUUUUCUUUUUCUUUCAGAAAUACAUCACGCUUGUUCUAGAACGUAUGUUAGAGAUCUAGAAAAAUAACGGUUUUUCAUUCAUAUUAGUGAAAAUUGCCAAUAUCUAUCAGCUUAUUGGAGUUUCCACUUUUAUGUUUCAUAAUAUGUAGUCAUUUACCGUUACUUUUUAGCUUAACCUGCUCAAUAUUUCUUGAAUUGUUUUUAGCUCGAACUCUUCAUGCCUGAGUUUUCCGUAGCAUCUGUACUGCCAGCUUAAAUCGAAGAGCUCAUAAUACCAAUUAUCUUUUACUUUCAUUCAAAUGAAAUCUAUAAUCUAGUAGCAAUAUGAGAGUUCAUGAUCUGUAUCUCUUGGUUUUUUAUAAAAUUUAAUUAUUUUGGCAUUUAAUAACUUAAAGCAAUGGCACAUCUACUUAUUCGUACCACUCUUCUAAAUGAGUUACCUUUUUCCUGUCAUAAUUUAAUUGUAAACCCCUUUACCAAUGGUUUCAAGUCCUUGCUGCUUAGAAAUACUUCAUGCUGUACUACUUACGUAGCUUGAAUUUGGGCAGAGCGUGGGAGAUUUGAUCUGAUCCUUGCAUUAAUGCUGAAUUUUAAACAGUCAUUAAGAAUCCCUAGGUGGUACUAUGCUAGCAAGGUUUGUGAAUCCCAAAUCACCAUCCUAGGACACACUUUAUUAUCUUUGAAAAAUCUUAGUAUUAUGGCAUUUACUAAGGUGAUAAUAGAAUAAGGUUGGAUGUUACCAAGUACUGUAGCAACCUUUGAAAUUCUUUAUGGCAGCCCAGAUAUUAUUUAAUUCUUGUAGACUUUUGUGCACAAUAAUGAAACAUGAGAUACUAGGAAUAAGGUAUGUGCUUUAUAAUCUAUGGAUUUAGUGGCUCCUGCUUUCACCAGAAUACUCUUGUAUGUAUUUUAACAGCACUUUUUUCUUUUUUUGUUCCUCUUUUUCUUUUCUUUUUUUCCAAUUAUAGGUGGUAUAGGUUGUUGGAUGUGUAACCUCGGAAACUUCAAUUAUGGUAUUUUUGUAUCUUCUGUGGCCCACCUCUUCUUUUCCCUACUCAUGUUAUCAAGAUAAAAUCAAGAGAUGAUAUCAUCCUGUACUUUUAUGUGUGUGGGGGCCAAUGAGGGGGAGAAAAAUGAGCUGUAUCCUACGGCGUUUGCUUCCACUCUUAAACGUUUAGAUGAAGCCUAAUGAGAAUAAGCUACAGUGGGGAGUACAUGAUGUACUAAACAAUUAGAUGUGACAUAAAGUAGUGCUCUUAAACACCUACGAAGCAAGCAUCAAUAUCUUUGGUUGAUAAGCUAAUCAAUGCUUGAUUUCUUAAACUAACCAUCUUUAGAAACUGUACUCUUAUUUAUAAGCUCGCUUAAUCCUUAUGCAUCUUGAUGUGAGUGUAACUCUCGUCGGCAACUGUACCGAUUGACAAGGACCAAUUGCUUGGAUUGAUUAUGCGCCGUGUUUUUUAAUAGGCUAACCACUUUAUUUGUACGCA